CAGCAUGGUCAUCAUCAUCAUCAGCAUUACUAUAAAAACAAAUUGACCAACAAGUACAAUUUUAUUAUAUCCUUAUAAUUUAUCAUAUAUAAGUGUGACCCAGGUUAUGAUAAUUAAAAAUAUGAUACAGGUCCAUUAUAAUGGUAUGACCAUUAUGCUUAAUAUAUGAUCUACCGGUGCUCCCAUACCCCCGCCCUCUCCCGCAGUGGUGGUGGGACAAUGUUGGCCAUGUCUCUGAUCAACCCAUAUAUCACACGCGUGUGAUGGACACGUGUGUGUGUGUGAGUGAACACGUGGACAGUGCACACACACGUGUUGGGUCAACUUAACCAAACAAACAAACAAAUAGAUUUUAACAAUCGUUUUUGGCCUAUUGAAGCUAUGAUAAUUUUUUUUGAGGUAAAUAAUAUUUGACUACUACCCGGAGGAGGAACAGGAGGUGCCCUAUUAAUAAUGGAUACUAUGGAUAAUUUUUUGUUGAGGUAAAUAAUACUCUACAAGACCCCCCUCUGGAAUAGGAGGUGUGCCCUAUUAUAUAUGGAUGCUAUGAUAAUGUUUUGUUGUUUAGGUUUUAACAAAACAAACAAUCGUAUUUUGGCCUAUUAUAUGGAUGAUAUGAUAAAUUUUUUGAGGAAAAUAAUUGACGAUCCGGGACUAGGAGGUGCCCCACCCCUCCCAUUAGCACAGAUUUUUAAUCCACUGCUUUAUAUAUAUAGACAAUAAUA